UGACAUCCGAUGCAUAGCGCAGAGAUGCGUGAAGUCCUUCGGGACAUCGAGACAGGUGGUGCAUGGUUGUCGUCAGCUCGUGUCGUGAGAUGUUGGGUUAAGUCCCGCAACGAGCGCAACCCUUAUUGCCAGUUACUACGCAAGAGGACUCUGGCGAGACUGCCGUUGACAAAACGGAGGAAGGUGGGGAUGACGUCAAAUCAUCAUGCCCUUUAUGACCUGGGCUACACACGUACUACAAUGGCGUUUAACAAAGAGAAGCAAGACCGCGAGGUGGAGCAAAACUCAAAAACAACGUCUCAGUUCAGAUUGCAGGCUGCAACUCGCCUGCAUGAAGUCGGAAUGCUAGUAAUCGCGGAUCAGCAGACGA
rnacentral:rRNA from 1 species